rnacentral:rRNA from 1 species
GAUGAACGCUGGCGGCGUGCCUAAUACAUGCAAGUAGAACGCUGAAGGAGGAGCUUGCUCUUCUGGAUGAGUUGCGAACGGGUGAGUAACGCGUAGGUAACCUGCCUGGUAGCGGGGGAUAACUAUUGGAAACGAUAGCUAAUACCGCAUGACAACAGUUAUUGCAUGAUAACUGUUUAAAAGGGGCAACUUCUCCACUACCAGAUGGACCUGCGUUGUAUUAUUUAGUUGGUGAGGUAACGGCUCACCAAGGCGACGAUACAUAGCGGACCGGAGAGGGGGUCGGCCACCCCUGGAACUGGAAACCGCCCCGAACUCUACCGGAGGCAGCCGUAGGGGAUCUUCGGGCAUUGAGCGAAGGCUGGACGAGCCAACGCGCCGUAAUGGAGAAAGGUUUUCGAUCGUAAAGAUCCGUUGUUAAGGAAGAACCAAUGUUGGAAUUGAAAGUUCACACUGUGACGGUAUCUUACCAGAAAGGGACGGCUAACUACGUG